CAGUAAAUAGUUUAUAUAAAAUAUUAAUUUUGGAGAUUAAAGAUAAAUAGCUAUAUUUUUUACUGA
rnacentral:tRNA from 1 species